rnacentral:rRNA from 1 species
UACGUAGGGGGCAAGCGUUGUCCGGAAUCAUUGGGCGUAAAGAGCGUGUAGGCGGCCCGAUAAGUCCGCUGUGAAAGUCCAGGGCUCAACCCUGGGAUGCCGGUGGAUACUGUCGGGCUCGAGUCCGGAAGAGGAGUGUGGAAUUCCUGGUGUAGCGGUGAAAUGCGCAGAUAUCAGGAGGAACACCAAUGGCGAAGGCAGCACUCUGGGACGUGACUGACACUCAGGGACGAAAGCUAGGGGAGCGAAUGGG